UCUACUUUUCUUCGAUUUAAAAAAAGAAACCCUCCCAUGGAUGCAGCAAAACCCCAACGCACCCCACAGGAAGUGGAGAACAUCAUCAUCCGCAAAAUCUUCCUCGUCACCAUCACCGAACCCGAUGCCACCGCCACCACCGCCACCACCACCGACUCCAGAAUCGUCUACAUGGAGCAAACCGCGGCGGAGAUUCUCAGCGAGGGGAAGGGCCUCCGUCUCUCGCGCGACACCAUGGAGAGGAUCCUCAUCGAUCGCCUCUCCGGCGACGCCGACGAAUCGCCGUUCCACUACCUCUUCGGCUGCUACCAGCGCGCCUACGACGAGGCUAAGAAGAUCGCCGGCAUGAAGGACAAGGAACUCAGGGCGGAAAUGGAGGUUGUUGUCAGGCAGGCGAAGAAGCUCUCUGUCUCCUACUGCAGGAUUCAUCUCGCGAACCCUGAGCUCUUCCCGAGCCGGAGCACUGCUAACGACGCUGGACACUCGCCGCUGCUGCCGCUGGUCCUCGCGGAGGUUGGUGGUGGGGGAAUCGGAGGGUUUGGCGGAGGUGGUGGUGGAGUGAAGAGCCCACCGGGGUUUUUGGAGGAGCUGUUUAGGGAUGCUGAUUUUGAUAGUUUGGACAGAAUAUUGAAAGGGUUGUAUGAAGAGUUGAGGGGGAGUGUGAUGAAGGUUUCUGCUCUUGGAAACUUUCAGGAUUCUCUGAGGGCUUUGUUGUUUUUAGUCAGGUUCCCUGCUGGUGCAAAGUCUCUUGUGAGCCAUCAAUGGUGGAUUCCCAAAGGGGUUUACAUGAAUGGUCGCGCCAUCGAAAUGACCAGCAUUUUGGGGCCAUUCUUCCAUGUCAGUGCUCUCCCUGAUCAAACCUUUUUCAGGAGCCUGCCUGAUGUUGGACAGCAGUGUUUUUCUGAUUCAUCAACUCGGCGACAAGCUGAUUUAGUAUCCUCGUUUUCCACUAUCAAAAAUGUCAUGAAUAACUUGUAUGGUGGCCUAUCUGAAGUACUUCUCGUCCUCCUCAAAAGUUCAGAUACUCGAGAAAAUGUACUUGAGUAUCUUGCAGAGGUGAUCAAUAUAAAUGCAUCCAGGGCUCAUAUACAGGUUGACCCUAUUACUUGUGCAAGUUCUGGCAUGUUUGUAAAUCUCAGUGCUGUCAUGCUUCGUCUCUGUGAACCUUUUUUAGAUGCUAAUUUAACAAAAAGGGAUAAAAUAGAUCCGAAUUAUGUACACUACUCAAAUCGUUUAAAGCUAAGUGGGUUGACUGCUCUUCAUGCAUCAUCAGAAGAAAUUACUGAAUGGCUUAAUAGUAAAAACCCAUCUAAGGCUGGGGGAAUCGAUCAAUGUAAUGAUGAUAAAAAACGCUUGCAACAAUCUCAAGAGGCCAGUAGUUCUGGUAGUAAUAAUGCUGGUGGGCUUUCAAAAGAAAAUUCUGCAUGUGGUGAAUGCUUCUUUAUGACGGCAAGAGUGCUCAACCUAGGCCUUUUAAAAGCAUUUUCUGACUUCAAACACUUAGUUCAGGAUAUUUCUAGAUGUGAAGAUGCUCUUUCCACACUUAAAGGCAUGCAGGGGCACUCACCCUCUCCUCAGUUGGAAUUGGAUAUAUCUCGACUUGAGAAGGAACUGGAGUUGUACUCGCAGGAAAAGCUUUGUUAUGAAGCUCAGAUAUUGAGGGAUAACACGCUUAUUCAGAAUGCACUUACGUUCUACCGCUUGAUGAUCGUUUGGUUGGUUGGCUUGGUUGGUGGAUUCAAGAUGCCUCUACCACAGACAUGCCCAAUGGAAUUUGCUACCAUGCCUGAGCAUUUUGUAGAAGAUGCCAUGGAACUUUUAAUAUUUGCUUCCCGGAUUCCAAGGGCCUUGGAGGGAGUCGUACUGGAUGAGUUUAUGAACUUUAUAAUUAUGUUCAUGGCCAGCCCUGAUUUGAUCAAAAACCCAUAUCUGAGAGCUAAGAUGGUUGAAGUCUUGAAUUGCUGGAUGCCCCGUACAAGUGGCACAUCUGCUACAGCUACUCUAUUUGAAGGACACCAACUGUCUCUUGAGUAUCUUGUGAGGAAUCUUCUGAAACUUUAUGUUGACAUUGAGUUUACCGGUUCUCACACACAGUUCUAUGACAAGUUUAACCUCCGCCAUAAUAUUGCUGAACUCCUUGAACUAGUCAUCGUAAUGCUUGGAGACAGAUCGCUAAAGAGGAGGAAAAGGGUGUCUAUUUGAAUUUCUUGAACUUUCUGAUUAAUGAUAGUAUAUAUCUUCUUGAUGAAAGUCUGACCAAAAUUCUUGAGCUAAAAGAAUUGGAAGCUGAGAUGUCAAAUACAGCUGAGUGGGAAAGACGGCCAGUUCAGGAGAGGCAGGAGAGGACCCGGUUAUUCCAUUCUCAAGAAAUUAUUAUUCGAAUAGAUAUGAAGUUGGCAAAUGAAGAAGUUAGUAUGCUUGCAUUUACUUCAGAACAGAUUACUGUUCCAUUCCUACUUCCUGAGAUGGUGGAAAGAGUGGCUAGUAUGCUGAAUUACUUUCUGCUGCAAUUGGUGGGUCCCCAAAGAAAAUCGCUUAGUCUGAAAGAUCCUGAGAAAUAUGAAUUCCGUCCAAAGGAUUUGCUAAAACAGAUUGUGCACAUAUAUAUUCACCUGGCCAGAGGUGACACAAAUGCUAUCUUCCCAGCUGCAAUCUCAAAAGAUGGAAGAUCAUACAAUGACCAGUUGUUUAGUGCUGGUGCAGAUGUCCUACGUAGAAUUGGUGUGGAUCCGAAAGUCAUACAGGAGUUUAUUCAACUAGGUGCUAAAGCAAAAGUUGCUGCUUCAGAAGCCAUGGGAUUUGGAGGUUCAUGAAUUGGGAAGAAAGAUAUAACCUUUUUUAAUACAUUCAAUUCAAGGAUCUAAAUCCAUGAGAAAUAAGAACAGGAAGCAGAAUUUUGAGGAAACAAAAAACACAGAUUUCAGAAUUCAGAUUUUCCCUUUUCCAGAGAUCAUAUCAAAGUAGAACCCACAAAUUCAAAUGGGCAUUUCAAAGUUAGCUUCUUUCAAACAAACUAAAAACACCCAUCAACGUCAAAAUUGAACUAAUCAAUUAACACGAAAAGCAAUUGCAAAUUGCAAAUUGUAAUCCCAAACUAUUACAAAAAAAACCCUAAAGAAAAUGGAGAGAAAUCAAGUUGGAUUUGAAGAAGGAAGUACCGAUUUCGCCGAAAAAUGGAGAAUUGGAGAAGCUGGAACGAGAAGAGUGGAGUGGUGAAAGGAGAGAGAUGGUGCUACCAUUCAAUUAGAUUGAAUUCAAUUCCUAGGUUAAACUAUGUCGUAUUGGUCUCCCUGAUGGCCCCACUCCGAGCAUGCUAUGUUUGGCUCUGUGUGUGUCUGGAAAAGCCAAAGUCCCAUUCGGGUGGUAUUAGUACUAUUUUGUUGAAGUGAAUGUUUAAUAAGAUUAAAAAAAUUAGUUUGAGUUUAACGUGUAUUAGAGAAUCAUGCUCUAGAUAGGUAAACUUUAAUUUGAAUUCAAAUACAUAGUAAAAUCUGCAAAAACUUAAAAUCUUGUUUGUCACAUUAAAUGUAGAGUGUAAGGUCGGUUUGAUUACAUUUUUAAAAACUGUAAAAUUUAAAAAUAUGUUUGUCACAUCUUAUUUUUAAAAAUUAUUUUUGAACACAGUUCUUAUUUACAGUUUUAAAAGAUAUUUUUCUUUUUUGUUAUAGUUUUCAAAUUACAGAUUUUUAAUGUUUGGUAUAAAAAAAAUCUCAUAAAAAAAUUAUUGAAAAGUCGUUUCUAAAAACAUUUUUUAAAUCCAUAAAAAUAAACAUUGCGAUAAACUAACUCUAAGUAUAAAACUUGGACGCCCUACCCAACUCAUAUAUCCCUCAGCCCCUAUCACUUGAGCUAUCAAAUGGGGAUAGUGCUGGCGGAUUUUGAAAAGUCUAAUGAUCACCUUAUCACCUUUCAUUACUAAUGCGCUGAUCGUAAGACGAAAAAUUAAUCCCGCACCUACUGAAUCUAUCUAUACUAGUCUAUACUAGAUACAAAACACAAGCCUCUUCCAACGACAAAAUAACGACGUGUCGUUACCACAGCAAUUUGCCACGCGUCACAUUAGCAUCCUGCUUUCGGUUUUCCUUAUUUCAAUGGAGUUAUAUGUUUUGUCCCACUGUGGAUAUGUAUAUGUUUUGACUGUGUUCUGUUUCCUUCCCCGUUUUCUCCUUGCAAGAACCACAGAACUGCUUUAACCUUCCCCGUUUUCUCCCUGUUUGUCAGUAAAGUCAAGGAGCACGAAUUCGACAAAUUGUGGGAAUUGGAAACUUUUGAAAUUCAAAUUGAAUCACUUUUAUCUCUCUCUCCAUAUUUGUUUUCAAAUUCUGGAUCUGUCUCAAAAUUAUUUUCCUCUUCCUGCUCCGGAAACUCAUCUCACCUUCUUUCUCUGCUAACGGUGGCGCUAGAUCAUCAACGACCGUGCAUACCUUCCUUGGACCGCCACCGCUCCCUCCCACGCCCAGCCGCCGCCUCUAGGCCCCCCCUCUCCCUCUCUCACUCCCAGCCGCUCUCUCGCUCUCUCUCUCUCUCCCUCAGCAGAUCUUCAACCGCGCCCAAAUCUCCAGAUCUCGCGCGUCCUCUCCCUCGAAGCCACACACAGCAACUUUCAAACCCCGGUGCUUCCGAAAAAUCCAUCGGGUAUUGGUAUUAAGGAAAGGUAUCACCUUGUGCUGAGACAGAAGCUUUCAGGGUUCUUUGUGAAUUUUUUUAGAGCUUUUGAUUUCUAUCUGGGGCCUGGAGUUUGGAGAGCUUGAUAGGUGAAGAUGCUAACAUAUGGAGAAUCCAGAAUUCACUUGAAGAGGGGCUUUUCCAUCGGAUCGAAAUGCACAGAUUGAAAGCAUUUUGACAGAGCAUUGCAGAUCGAUGAACUCUUACAUGUGAUAUGGACGGAUCUCUAGCCUUUUCAUGGAUCACGAACAUGGAACUUUGAGCUCCAUCAUAUAUGGUCGGUUCAUGCUUCCUAAAUCUGGGUUUUGUUGAAAUGAGGGCCUGAAGAUCUGUAUAUCUCAAGACUGAGAGAUCAAAGAUGAUAUGUCUAAAGGAGGAGAAAAAACCUGAAGAGAGGAAAGCUCAUCCUCAACUCGCUCGACUCCAAAUUGAACGGUCUCUUGGUUGAAGCCUCUUCCGAAGAAAAUCCGGCCAGUCCACGGUUCAUUUUUUUUCACCAGAGACCUUCACACUCAAUUGUGCUUUUACGAUGAGACUAUUGUUCAAAUGAUCGAAAAGAAAGGGAGAUUGUGAAAGAUGAAUUCUAGCAAGGAAGUGGCUUACUGAUUUGGCUUAUGAUGGCUAAGAAUGAAGAAGAAGAAUUCAACACUAGACCACUAUCUGUUCUGAUGAUGAGUAUUAAAAAUGAUACUCAUGUAUGUUUUUUUAACAUUAGAUAGUAACAUGGAUUCUGAGGCAGCCCCUAGAAGGCAUUUUAUGUCUGAGGUUUUAACCAGACACUUUAACUUCAGUAGCAAGAAGCUUCUGGGUCGUGGCAUGGCUUUUCAUAGGCACCGCAACAUGGUUCAGGAUCAAAAUUUUAAAAAUAGUUUAUUCGAUGAAAACUAAAUAGUGAAGAAGCAAGAAUCAAAUAAUCAUCCAGCCAACUGCUGAACCUGAAAGUACAAUUUUUCGAAAUCAGAUUGGAAAUGUCCUUUGCAGUAUGCAGGAACAACUUUUUGAAUGAUUUGCCUUCCUUGGAUCCAGAAUUAUGUGUUCAUCUUAAUUUUCUAUAUUUUCCAUAACUAAAUUAAGCUGGAGAAAUAAUACAUCUUAUAUGUUUAGAUGGUUUACUUGAUGAACAUUAUUAAGAGGAAUAUUAAAUGUGAUGUUUAGAACGAUGAAAUAAUCUUGUGGUUUUCUAGGGUAUUUUCCAGAUAAAAUACUAGGUUUUAUAAAUAGUUUCCAUUUAUUUGUUGCACACAUGUAUUCUGCUGGACCAAUUGAAUGGUUUAUCAUGUUCAAUUGACGCUCUCUGGUUUAUCCAAUCUGGUUUGCUUCUCCUUUCUCAGUCUUGAUCAUUUCCCUAACAGUUUCUUUCUUUGAUUGGGUCACACAGCUACUAUCCCAUUCUGAUAAAUUGCCUGUUUAACAAAUUGCUGCAAUUUCCUUGGCCACUUGGUUGAGAAGAGUAAGAAAGCCUUCCAAAAUCAUAUUCUAUAAUUCUUUGAAGAAUGAUAAAGACAUCAGUUCUUAUCUUAAUAUGGUUCUAAAAGAUUGCAAACACUUUGCUCAAUCCCUUCAUUGGUGUCAAUUAGUGCAUGUCAAGAGACAAUGCAAUACCACUGUUGUCUAAAAUUAUUUUUCAAUUUGUAGAUAAAGUUUGGUUAGAAGGAUGCCCUAUGGCGGAUGAUAUUCUUUUGAAUGAUGUACCUUUUAAUUUUGUUCAUGAUUGAAUAAAAUGUUAAAGCACAGAAAAGAAAAAGCGCUACGCUGUGCCAGCUUGGAUUUAAAUAA